rnacentral:rRNA from 1 species
UACGUAGGGGGCAAGCGUUGUCCGGAAUCAUUGGGCGUAAAGCGCGUGUAGGCGGGUCGGUAAGUCCGCUCUGAAAGCCCGGGGGCUCAACCCCCGGGAGGCGGGUGGAUACUGUCGACCUCGAGUCCGGAAGAGGCGAGUGGAAUUCCUGGUGUAGCGGUGAAAUGCGCAGAUAUCAGGAGGAACACCAAUGGCGAAGGCAGCUCGCUGGGACGGUACUGACGCUGAGACGCGAAAAGCGUGGGGGAGCAAACAGG